GGCCCUGAUGCCACCCUCUUCAAUGCCAUCAAAAAGGGCAGCUCUAUUGGUACGGAGAUCUCUGUACACAAAAGGAGUUGGCGUAAUCCCAGAUGGCAAGAUCACACCACAAAAGUAUGCAUUCACUAAUAAAAAUUGACAGCCUCCAAUGGAAUUCAAAGCAAAAUUAAUAGGAAGGACAGUUAAAAGGACGAAGUUCACAUUCAAACCCAUAUUCAAGAGAGAUGCAUCCAGAUAAUCCCAUAGAGAAUCGUGCUAUAGAAUUAUUAAGUGCUUAACCAGUAACAACUAUCAAGAGUUUUUAACUCUUCCAGGAACCACAACAAAAGCAUGGCAUUGACAAGAUUUACAGACCAGAUCUAAGAAAAAGUUGAAUUAGAUUGAAUUUCCAAAUCAGAAAGAUGAUUUGUUAUUAUAAACUAAGAAAUAAGGGAAAAAUGCUAGAAGACACAAUUGAUGACUAGAAGAACAACCUAUAUCUCUUGCUGUGAUGUCUGUGUGUGUGAAUACUCAAAUAACAAGAAUUAAAGAGAAAGCAUGUAUGUAGAACAUUAGGAAAAUAUAAUUGUGUGACCAUGAUCUAGAAUGGCAUUGUAUAUUUGUAUUACAAGUUCAUGGAUCAUCAACUUUUUACCCUUCAGCCAAUUUCAUCUGAGUUUGGUCUGGGAUUAUUUAUAUCAUGAGAUGAUAGAAUUAUAUCAUGUUUUCUUUCAUAAAAAAAACAACUAAAAUAUAAUAUCUCAUGUAUCAGAGAACACCUUGACGGCUUAGGUGUAGUGAUAAACUAGUUCAUGAUUGAAAGAAAGUGUAACAGGUGCCAAGAAUCUUGACACAUAGUUUAGAACGAUAAACUCAGAGAUAAAGACAGUGAAACAUAACCUCAAACAUAGUGAUAUAUGAAACCAACAUAGAAACAAACUAAUAUACAUAUUGCCGCUCUCUAAAUUAAACAAGCUGAUAAGGACAUGGCACUAACUGGUUUAUGGUGAAGUGACAAGAGAAAACAUGUUUAUGAGAGCCCAAAUCUAACAAAGACCAAUGAACUUUAAAAUAGGGUACACAUAUUGUCACAUUCUAAUCCUAAAGAAAGAACACUAAAAUACCAGAUGGAUCUCAAUGGUUUAUCAUGAAAGUUUUCAUGGCUUAGGACACCAAACCACCAGUCACCCAAUCCAACAGAUAACUUACAGCUCCUCUCCAGCGAAAAGGCAAAGUUCCAGUAGAUUUUCUAAAACAAACAAUCUGAAGAAAAUAUGUGCAACUUUGACCAGCUCAUGCAGCCAAUUACACCAGAAAUCGACUAGAUCAAGAAAGGGAGACUCUCAAGCACCCAUCCAUCUCAUCCAAAUCAACUACAUUUCUUUCUCUCACUCACUUUUGGUACCUAAUUUGUUAUACAGUUCUUGAACUAAACAUGCAUUAACCCCAGUUUCUAAACAUGCAUUACCUCAUCCAAAAUCAUUAGUUCAAAACUUCUCACAAUACCAAAGUUUCUUCAAAGUAUAUACUUUUUCUAAAGUCUCAAAGGGGAUAUUCUUAGAAAAUUAAGGAUGUGUAUAGGUCUUUGUUAAAGUUAAUACACA
rnacentral:misc_RNA from 1 species